rnacentral:rRNA from 1 species
UACGUAGGUGGCAAGCGUUGUCCGGAAUUAUUGGGCGUAAAGCGCGCGCAGGCGGUCCUUUAAGUUUGAUGUGAAAUCUCGCGGCUCAACCGCGAGCGGCCAUUGGAAACUGGGGGACUUGAGUGCAGAAGAGGAAAGCGGAAUUCCACGUGUAGCGGUGAAAUGCGUAGAGAUGUGGAGGAACACCAGUGGCGAAGGCGGCUUUCUGGUCUGUAACUGACGCUGAGGCGCGAAAGCGUGGGGAGCAAACAGG